AUACGGAGGAUCCGAGCGUUAUCCGGAUUUAUUGGGUUUAAAGGGUGCGCAGGCGGCCAUUUAAGUCAGCGGUUAAAUCGUGGGGCUCAACCCCAUUCUGCCGUUGAUACUGGGUGGCUUGAUUGCGGUCGAGGUUGGCGGAAUUCGUUGUGUAGCGGUGAAAUGCAUAGAUAUGACGAAGAACACCGAUUGCGUAGGCAGCUGACCAGACCGCAAAUGACGCUCAUGCACGAAAGUGCGGGGAUCGAACAGGAUUAGAUACCCUGGUAGUCCGCACAGUAAACGAUGAAUACUUGUUUUCGGCGAUAUAAUGUCGGAGGCAAAGCGAAAGCGAUAAGUAUUCCACCUGGGGAGUACGCCGGCAACGGUGAAACUCAAAUGAAUUGACGGGU
rnacentral:rRNA from 1 species